AUUGAACGCUGGCGGCAGGCCUAACACAUGCAAGUCGAGCGGUAGAGAGAAGCUUGCUUCUCUUGAGAGCGGCGGACGGGUGAGUAAUGCCUAGGAAUCUGCCUGAUAGUGGGGGAUAACGUCCGGAAACGGACGCUAAUACCGCAUACGUCCUACGGGAGAAAGUGGGGGCUCUUCGGACCUCACGCUAUCAGAUGAGCCUAGGUCGGACCAGCUAGUUGGUGGGGUAAAGGCUCACCAAGGCGACGAUCCGUAACUGGUCUGAGAGGAUGAUCAGUCACACUGGAACAGAGACACGGUCCAGACUCCUACGGGAGGCAGCAGUGGGGAAUAUUGGACAAUGGGCGAAAGCCUGAUCCAGCCAUGCCGCGUGUGUGAAGAAGGUCUUCGGAUUGUAAAGCACUUUAAGUUGGGAGGAAGGGUCGUUACCUAAUACGUGACGAUUUUGACGUUACCGACAGAAUAAGCACCGGCUAACUCUGUGCCAGCAGCCGCCGUAAUAC
rnacentral:rRNA from 1 species